UAGGGAAUCUUCGGCAAUGGGGGCAACCCUGACCGAGCAACGCCGCGUGAGUGAAGAAGGUUUUCGGAUCGUAAAGCUCUGUUGUAAGAGAAGAACGUGUGUGAGAGUGGAAAGUUCACACAGUGACGGUAACUUACCAGAAAGGGACGGCUAACUACGUGCCAGCAGCCGCGGUAAUACGUAGGUCCCGAGCGUUGUCCGGAUUUAUUGGGCGUAAAGCGAGCGCAGGCGGUUUAAUAAGUCUGAAGUUAAAGGCAGUGGCUUAACCAUUGUUCGCUUUGGAAACUGUUAAACUUGAGUGCAGAAGGGGAGAGUGGAAUUCCAUGUGUAGCGGUGAAAUGCGUAGAUAUAUGGAGGAACACCGGUGGCGAAAGCGGCUCUCUGGUCUGUAACUGACGCUGAGGCUCAAAGCGUGGGGAGCAAACAGG
rnacentral:rRNA from 1 species